rnacentral:rRNA from 1 species
CAGGAUGAACGCUGGCGGCGUGCUUAAUACAUGCAGGUCAACGAAGACUUCUCGCUGAAUUGAAUUCAUUCUUUCUUGAGAUGUCUUAGUGGCGGACGGGUGAGUAGCGCGUGGGUAACCUGCCUUACACAGGGGGAUAACAGUUAGAAAUGACUGCUAAUACCGCAUAAGCGCACAGUUUCGCAUGAAACAGUGUGAAAAGAUUUAUCGGUGUAAGAUGGACCCGCGUCUGAUUAGCUAGUUGGUGAGGUAACGGCCCACCAAGGCGACGAUCAGUAGCCGGCCUGAGAGGUGAACGGCCACAUUGGGACUGAGACACGGCCCAAACUCCUACGGGAGGCAGCAGUAGGGAAUAUUGGACAAUGGGGGAAACCCUGAUCCCAGCGACGCCGCGUGAGUGAAGAAGUAUUUCGGUACGUAAAGCUCUAUCAGCAGGGAAGAAAAUGACGGUACCUGACUAAGAAGCACCGGCUAAAUACGUGCCAGCCGCCGC